UUAUGUCCUGCGGAGGCUUGAUAAACGUUAGCUAACUUCUAAAUACGUAAUACUAAUAUGCAUUGAUUGAAGCAAGUAGGGAUGUUUAACCAAGGAAAUGGAAGUUAUGACGGUGCCAGUGAUGGUAACUAAUAUUUAUUAAGCUCUUGUUAUGUGUAAGGCAGAAGCCCUGGUGGCGUGGUGGUUAAGCGCUAUAGCUGCUAACCAAAAGGUCAGCAGUUCAGAUGCACCAGGCGCUCCUUGGAAACUCUACGGGGCAGUUCUCCUCUGUCCUAUAGAGUGGCUAUGAAUCAGAGUUAACUCGACGGUUAUGGGUUAGCUACAGGUUAGUUAAGAUGUGUAAGGCACUGUUUAAACCACUCUAUACUUGUUUACAUUUAAUUGCUACAAUUCUAUGAGACCUCCCAUUUCUCAGAUGAGGAAACUGAGGCUUUGAGAUAGAGCUCACACCUCUAGUACAUAAUAUAAUGGGAUUUGGACCCAGAUCUUGGUGACUCCAGGGUCCAAGUUACAUGAGCUGAUUGGUACUCAACUGGUGAAUGAUAAUCCGAUGGGUGUACUGAGGGCAUUUCUGUCUUGCCAGGCUGUUCCUGGGUAUGUGGAGACCGAGGCUGGAGAGUUACUGUCAGAGAUCCCGUGAAGGGAAAUCGUGUACAGUGGGUAAACAGGACAGGAUGCAGACACAGAGGGGAGAGGCAGCAUGGGGACUGCGAUAACCAGAAAAAGGGCCAGAAAACUUGGAACACAAAAACUGAGGAAGAGUGACCGGAGAAGAGGUUGGACAGAAUUCUGGUGUAGGAACCCCAUUCAUCCUCUGGCAUGGUGGAGUAAGGACCACUGAAAACCCACUCCUUUAUAGAAGAGAACACUGGGGGAAAAAAACCCCUGUGGUUAUCAAAUUUUUUGGAACUCUGGAAGUCACCUAAAGGCUUGCAACAUUCUGAAAUGGACAAGCUGAUUUGGAAAUUCAUACGGAUAUGCGAGGGACCCAGAAUAACUAAAACAAUCUUGAAAAAGAAGAGCAAAUUUGGAGAACUGAGACUGCCUGAUUUCAAAUCUUACUACAAAGCUACAGUAAUCCAAAUAAUGUGUUACCGACAUAGGGAUAUACAUAUGAAUAGAUGAGAGCCACAAAAUAAAUCCUAACAUUUACGGUCAAUUGAUUUUUUCUUUUUCUUAAUUUUUAUUGUGCUUUAAAUUUUUUUUUUAAGUGAAAGUUUACAA